CGCCGUUUUAUCAAAAACAUGUCUUAUUGAUAAUAAUUUUAAGUCUAAUCUGCCCAAUGAAAAAUUUUGAAUGGCUGCAGUAUCAAUAACUGUACAAAGGUAGCAUAAUAAUUAGUUUUUUAAUUGAAAACUAGAAUGAAAGAUUAAAUGAAAUAUAAACUUUAUAAAUAAAAUAAAAAUUUAAAUUAAAUUUUAAGUUAAAAUUCUUAAAUAUUAUUAAAAGACGAGAAGACCCUUUAGAAUUUUAUAUUAAUUAUAAUUAAAUUUAUAAUAAUUUUAAUAUAAAUUAUUAAUUAAUAUUUAAUUGGGGUAAUUUUAUAAUUAAAUAAACUUUUAAAUAAUUAUUACAUAAAUUAAUGAAUUUAUAAACCUAAAUUUUAGUAUUUUAAAAUAAAUUACCUUAGGG
rnacentral:rRNA from 1 species